UACGUAGGGUGCAAGCGUUAAUCGGAAUUACUGGGCGUAAAGCGUGCGCAGGCGGUUCGGAAAGAAAGAUGUGAAAUCCCAGGGCUUAACCUUGGAACUGCAUUUUUAACUGCCGGGCUAGAGUAUGUCAGAGGGGGGUAGAAUUCCACGUGUAGCAGUGAAAUGCGUAGAGAUGUGAAGGAAUACCGAUGGCGAAGGCAGCCCCCUGGGAUAAUACUGACGCUCAUGCACGAAAGCGUGGGGAGCAAACAGG
rnacentral:rRNA from 1 species